rfam:Oryza sativa Japonica Group DNA, chromosome 5, cultivar: Nipponbare, complete sequence.
AAAAAGUCAAACCCUAUAUUUCCGUGUCCAACUUUAACUGUCCGUCUUAUAUGAAAUUUUUUUAUAAUUCGUAUUUUCAUUGUUGUUAGAUGAUAAAACAUGAUUAAUAUUUUAUGCGUGACUUGUCUUUUUAAUUUCUUUCAUAAUUUUUUCAAAUAAGACGGACGGUCAAACGUUGGACACGGAAACCAGGGUUUGUCUUUUU